rnacentral:snoRNA from 1 species
CUGCAGGCAAUUAAGCAACUGCCCUCCUUUCCCCAGGAGGGCCCAGUGUGAAAUGACUACAGACAGCCACCUUCUUGGCAGUGUGGCAGCCUAUUGUAUAUGUGGGUUACCCUAUAAGGGACUCUGGAGACAGCC